rnacentral:rRNA from 1 species
UACGUAGGGGGCAAGCGUUGUCCGGAAUCACUGGGCGUAAAGGGCGCGUAGGUGGCGGGCCAAGUCCAUGGUGAAAGCUCGAUGCUUAACAUCGAGUCGGCCACGGAGACUGGUUUGCUUGAGCACUGUAGAGGCAGAUGGAAUUCCGGGUGUAGCGGUGGAAUGCGUAGAGAUCCGGAAGAACACCGGUGGCGAAGGCGGUCUGCUGGGCAGUAGCUGACACUGAGGCGCGACAGCGUGGGGAGCAAGCAGG